AUUGAACGCUGGCGGCAGGCCUAACACAUGCAAGUCGAGCGGUAGAGAGGUGCUUGCAUCUCUUGAGAGCGGCGGACGGGUGAGUAAUGCCUAGGAAUCUGCCUAGUGGUGGGGGAUAACGUUCGGAAACGGACGCUAAUACCGCAUACGUCCUACGGGAGAAAGCGGGGGAUCUUCGGACCUCGCGCCAUUAGAUGAGCCUAGGUCGGAUUAGCUAGUUGGUGAGGUAAUGGCUCACCAAGGCGACGAUCCGUAACUGGUCUGAGAGGAUGAUCAGUCACACUGGAACUGAGACACGGUCCAGACUCCUACGGGAGGCAGCAGUGGGGAAUAUUGGACAAUGGGCGAAAGACCUGAUCCAGCCAUGCCGCGUGUGUGAAGAAGGUCUUCGGAUUGUAAAGCACUUUAAGUUGGGAGGAAGGGUAGUAACCUAAUACGUUGCUACUUUGACGUUACCGACAGAAUAAG
rnacentral:rRNA from 1 species